GUGGGGAAUCUUGCGCAAUGGGCGAAAGCCUGACGCAGCCAUGCCGCGUGAAUGAUGAAGGUCUUAGGAUUGUAAAAUUCUUUCACCGGGGACGAUAAUGACGGUACCCGGAGAAGAAGCUCCGGCUAACUUCGUGCCAGCAGCCGCGGUAAUACGAAGGGGGCUAGCGUUGCUCGGAAUUACUGGGCGUAAAGGGCGCGUAGGCGGACAGUUUAGUCAGAGGUGAAAGCCCAGGGCUCAACCUUGGAAUUGCCUUUGAUACUGGCUGUCUUGAGUACGGGGGAGGUGAGUGGAACUCCGAGUGUAGAGGUGAAAUUCGUAGAUAUUCGGAAGAACACCAGUGGCGAAGGCGACUCACUGGCCCGUUACUGACGCUGAGGCGCGAAAGCGUGGGGAGCAAACAGGAUUAGAUACCCGUGUAGUCC
rnacentral:rRNA from 1 species